CCCAAAUCACGGAACAAUAUCCUGCUAACUCGAUCUCCACGUCUCCACAACCAUCAACGCCGCGUCAUGCAGAGGGCGGAGACCCCGCGCGCCUUAUGCUCCUCCCGAUCCUGUCACGCUCCCGAUCUAGGAAUUAUUUCUCCUCCGCCAGCCCUAGGUAGGUGGCUCCUCUGUCCUCGACGGGUGUCUCAGCGUCGCUAUAUCUCUGGACUCUGGUGGUCGCUUCGCCCUCGACGGGGUCUCCCAGCAUCGAUCUUCCUCCGAUCUCGCUACCACCUCGGCCGACGUCGUUACCUGCCUCCUCCUUCAGCGCCCCAGCGAAGCCGCCAUCAUGUCACGCGUUGCUGCGCAUGCAUGAGAGCAGAGCGGACGCAGAACUGGGUCGAGUAGAUUGAUUUUGAGUGGCGCACGGAGCCGAGGGUGAGGCGCUGGACUAGGCAGGCACCGCCCCCGCUCCUGCAUACCCGGGGGCGAGCGAGGAUGCAGGCUCGGCCACAGCUCCCGAGGAAGUGGGAUCCACCACUGCUGGUUUCAGUCACGUCAUCUAUGCUAUAAUCCCACCCAUAUACAUGCCUGCCUGAAGGAGGUGUUCAAGAUGAAUGGGUACUGAAAACAGCGGACAGAUCAACUACGAGGAGCUUAAGGCUGUUCUGGAGCAGGCGGGUGCAAGCGCCGGGAGACGAGUUCGUGAACGAGGAACCUGUUGAGUAUGCUUACGAGGAUCAAGCUCUCGACAACUCUGAGAACCUUG